rnacentral:lncRNA from 1 species
GUAAAGGAGAGCUGGUGGCUUUGGAAGGUUGCUGUUUAUAUGUCUGCUGAAGGAUAGGGGAUCCUAUUCAUCAGUGGCAUUUGGAAAUAGAGCUGGAUGCAGAGUGGAGAGUGAUAACAAGCUGAAUCCACUGGAUGAACUUCAAAGAGUAAUGGCUGCUGCUUCAUUUCUGCUUUCCAAAUCACAUUGGAUUAUCUUUUGACCACCUCUGAGAACCAUAUGGGGAAAGAGGAUUCUGGGCAAUAUUGUUCCAGGUCAAACAAGCUGAUAAACUACAAGCUGAUAAACUACAAAACAACCGCACUCCAGCUCAUGUCAGCUUGGUGUCAUUCACAUCUCUUUUAUCCAUAUUUGCAUCUAAUAGCAGUUCUCUCUCUUGCUGCCAUGUGAAGAAGAAAGUUCUUGCUUCCCCUUCUGCUGAGAUUAUAAGUUUCCUGAGGCCUCCCCAGCCACGCUGAACUGUGAGUCAAUUAAACUUCUUUCCUUUAUAAAUUACUCAGUCUCGAGUAUGUCUUUAUUAAAAGUGUGAGAACUAACUAAUACAGUAAAUUGGUACUGCAGAGAGUGGGACAUUGCUGUAAAGAUACCUGAAAAUGUGGAAGCGAAUUUGGAACUGG